rnacentral:rRNA from 1 species
GACGAACGCUGGCGGCGUGCUUAACACAUGCAAGUCGAACGGAAAGGCCCUGCUUUUGUGGGGUGCUCGAGUGGCGAACGGGUGAGUAACACGUGAGUAACCUGCCCUUGACUUUGGGAUAACUUCAGGAAACUGGGGCUAAUACCGGAUAGGAGCUCCUGCUGCAUGGUGGGGGUUGGAAAGUUUCGGCGGUUGGGGAUGGACUCGCGGCUUAUCAGCUUGUUGGUGGGGUAGUGGCUUACCAAGGCUUUGACGGGUAGCCGGCCUGAGAGGGUGACCGGCCACAUUGGGACUGAGAUACGGCCCAGACUCCUACGGGAGGCAGCAGUGGGGAAUAUUGCACAAUGGGCGGAAGCCUGAUGCAGCAACGCCGCGUGCGGGAUGACGGCCUUCGGGUUGCAAACCGCUUUCGCCUGUGACGAAGCGUGAGUGACGGUAAUGGGUAAAGAAGCACCGGCUGACUACGUG